GCUACCAGGCUGGGAUCACAGGUAUGCAUCACACUUCUCUUAACACACCCCGGGGCCCAAACAGGUCUCCACGUCAUUGGAAUACUCUCAACAUCUGGCUUCCUACAUGGCAGCUCAGUGGUCCAGGGGCUCAUGGAGAGACAGAAACAAAGGAAGUUAGACUGGCCUCCAGUUCACAGAGGUCCGCCUGCCUGUACCUCCCAAGUGCUGGAAUUAGAGGCUUGUGUCACCACACCCAGCUCUUAAGGUAUAAUUUGCGGCUGUCACUGGAAGAGUCUCAUCGCUGCCAUCUUCAGCCUCGGACCCAAGGCAGAAGUGGAGAGAAACAGAAAGUAGAGGAAGAAAAAGUGUGGAGAGAGAAGGCCGUAGGCAGGCUGAGAGAGAUGAAUUGAUCAAAAGUCCCCCCCCCCCGGAACCCUGUGGUGGUCUGUCCCUCCACAGUGGGAGCCACAGCUGGCCUCCGGAGCAAGACAAGGCAAAUUUAAGAAGUCUCCCCGCCACGCACCCCAGAACAGAUGGUCGCUCUCUUCCAAGCUACACUGCCUAACAUGACUCCCCAGGUUUAGCAGGCCAUAGCUAUACCCAUUCCAGGCAAAAAACUCCAGGGAGGUCACAAUCAAAUCACAGUUUUUAUGUUAUUGAUUUGGCCCAAGUUGAUAUUGCUCCAUCUGGUUGGAAUAAAAGAUGCAUUUUUCUCGUUGUA